UAUUUAUUGGGGUGUGAGUGUUUUUGUUUUCCUCUCCACGUGCUUGCAAUAAAAAUGUUAAAGAAAGCAAAAAAUAAGUCAAUUUCUGAUGAAAUUUCGAGUUUAUUCACCAGAAAAUCCCUCGCGGAGUCAGACAGUGAUGGAGAGUUGAAUUUAGCAGAAUCAGUGGAGAUUCAAGGAGAGAAACAAGUGGGAGACAUCCAUAAACAAAAUGCACCUUUGCUUGAGGAAAUCAGCUCCAGAUACAAAGGAAUCCCAUCUUCCAGGGAUAUUGACAGUGAUUCUUCAGGAGAAGAAGAUGCAGAAGACAGUGAAGAUGAAGAAGAUGAGGAAGUGGAAGAGGAAGAAGAUGUUUCUGAAGGUGAAAGCGCAGAAGAUGAUGAAAGUGGAAGUGAAAGUGUCCAGGAAAUCUCUGGUGAGGCCGAUGCAGGAGAAACUACUCCAAAUAACAUUAAAUUAAUCUCUCAGAAGUCCAAGGAGAGUGAUGUCAAGGGACACUGCGUGAAAAAUCAGCUGAAAAUGUGGGAAAAUCUUUUGGAGGUUAGAAUACGUUCUCAGUCCCUGAUGACACUUUCCAAUCGCCUUCCCUUCCCGGAUACGUUCCGGGUGUUGCAAGAGUCUUCAGAAGAUUUCUCUUCUCUAGCCUCAGAGGUCCAGAACAAUCUCGCAAAUGUCCUAAAUCAACUGAUAGAAGCACAAAAUACCCUUAUUUCUGCCUUUCCGGACACAAGAGAUUCCCUCAAACGAGGGCUUUACAGUAAAGCUUCCCUCUCGGAAAAUGAAGAUGAUGAUCUAGAAGCCACCCCGAAGAAGCCAAAGCUUGAAUUCUCCUCAAAUACCAGCUCAGAGUCCUUCAGAAAAUUGUACAGGAAUGUUAUUGGGAAAUGGACUGAGAAAACAAACUUGGGAAAAUCUUCCGGAACCCCAAUUGAUCAAAUUGACAAGGUGCUGUCCAGGAAAAGUGAUCUUGUGGAGAACAGUAGGACUUGCAAAGGGAAUUAUAGCCUCUUCCGGGUGACUUCAGAAGAGAUUUCAGAAGAAUCUGGCAGGAAAAGUAGCCCUGAAGUUUACGAUGAUACUGAUUUUUACCAAGAAAUUCUCAGCGAGCUAAUAGAGGCAAAAUCUUCCCAGAACCUCGAUGGAAUCACUUCCAGUACUCUGCAGAAGAAAGCUAGAAACUCCACGAAAAAAAUUGUAGACACUAAAGCUUCGAAAGGACGAAGGAUAAGGUACGUCGUUCACAAGAAAAUGGUGAAUUUUAUGGCGCCGAAUCCGUAUUCUUCCUGGACCGAUGAAGCUAAAGAUGAGCUGUUCUCUUCAAUCUUUGGGGCCAAUCACUGAAACAGAAGUGUAUCUGCGCAAUUUGAAGGAGGAAAGGUGUUUGUGUGGAAAUUUGUAAAGCAAGAAGGAGACUUCAUCAAGUUGUCGUUACCACAGAAGUUCGAACAUGAUGUUCAUGUUUUCUCUUCAAUAACCAACCGGAUGAGUAAGCUGAAAAAGAAUAAUAGAAGAUUCAAUAGUGAAUGGGAAGAAAAAUUGUGAGAAAAGUUUUUUUUUUGAGAAAAAUAUGUAGAUAUUUUUGGAGUAAAAGAAUUUAGGAAAAAAGUGUAUAAUGUAAUUUAUAUAUGAGAGAAGUUGAAACUCUUGACACAUCUUCUUAACAAUUGAUUAAUUUUUUUUAUUUGUACACAUGAAUAUACCACACGAGAUGAUGAAAAAAUAAAUAAAUAAAUAAAAAAGUUCAUGGAGAAAAAAUGCCAUUGAAAAAAAUUUAUGACUUCUUAAAAAUGCUGGACACAAUUGAUUCUUUUGACUCUCAUCCAUGCCGUAUUUCCGUGUAAGAGAUGUUACAGAGAGAGGUGUAAGAAAAAAAUGCCACAGGAAUUUAUGGGUUAGGAACAUACUCAGACUUUCCAUCUAAGUUUUUAACGCAAGUAAAGUGUCUCUUGAGACACUUUGCAUCUUGACUUUUUUCUUUAAAUGUUAAAGUGUGAACAAAGUUGAAGAAAAAAUUGCAAGAUCGCCAUUUGAGCUUUUAAAAUGUCUCACACAGUUGGACUUGUAUAAAUAAUAUGGAGGAAAUUGAAGAAGCAAGAAGCUCUUGUGAAGUGUGAUAUUAAUCCGCGUGAUUCGGCGCUCAGCAUGGUUAAGAGAGUCGGAUAGUCAUCAGUGGCACAUUAGUGUCUAUCUCUUGAGUUGUGUGAUGGUUGGAUUAAGUGGUUAAUAUGACAAAUGCAGAUAACUCAAUUUCAUAUUCUCAACUUCAUAAAUGGAGAAUACUAAAACUGGGCUGUUUGUGGGACAUUUUUGAUGUUAUAAAGUCGUGUGUUAUGAGAUUACAUGAUAUUUUAAUAAUUUCAGAAAGUUAAUUUGCAAACCAUGCACUGUAAAUUCGAUAUUUUAUCGAUACGAUAGAUUUUGCAUAUUGAUGUGGUAUAAUCGUAUAGAAGGAGGGUAGCCAUUCG